rnacentral:rRNA from 1 species
GCGAACGGGUGAGUAACACGUGAGUAACCUGCCCUUAACUCUGGGAUAAGCCUGGGAAACUGGGUCUAAUACCGGAUAGGAGCGUCCACCGCAUGGUGGGUGUUGGAAAGAUUUAUCGGUUUUGGAUGGACUCGCGGCCUAUCAGCUUGUUGGUGAGGUAAUGGCUCACCAAGGCGACGACGGGUAGCCGGCCUGAGAGGGUGACCGGCCACACUGGGACUGAGACACGGCCCAGACUCCUACGGGAGGCAGCAGUGGGGAAUAUUGCACAAUGGGCGCAAGCCUGAUGCAGCGACGCCGCGUGAGGGAUGACGGCCUUCGGGUUGUAAACCUCUUUCAGUAGGGAAGAAGCGAAAGUGACGGUACCUGCAGAAGAAGCACCGGCUAACUACGUGCCAGCAGCCGCGGUAAUACGUAGGGUGCGAGCGUUAUCCGGAAUUAUUGGGCGUAAAGAGCUCGUAGGCGGUUUGUCGCGUCUGUCGUGAAAGUCCGGGGCUUAACCCCGGAUCUGCGGUGGGUACGGGCAGACUAGAGUGCAGUAGGGGAGACUGGAAUUCCUGGUGUAGCGGUGGAAUGCGCAGAUAUCAGGAGGAACACCGAUGGCGAAGGCAGGUCUCUGGGCUGUAACUGACGCUGAGGAGCGAAAGCAUGGGGAGCGAACAGGAUUAGAUACCCUGGUAGUCCAUGCCGUAAACGUUGGGCACUAGGUGUGGGGACCAUUCCACGGUUUCCGCGCCGCAGCUAACGCAUUAAGUGCCCCGC